rnacentral:rRNA from 1 species
GUAGGGAAUAUUGCAAAAUGGGCGAAAGCCCGAUGCAGCAACGCCGCGUGGGCGAUGAAGGCCUUCGGGUCGUAAAGCCCUUUUUGAGGGGAUGAGGAAGGACAGUACCCUCAGAAUAAGCCUCGGCUAACUACGUGCCAGCAGCCGCGGUAAAACGUAGGAGGCGAGCGUUAUCCGGAUUUACUGGGCGUAAAGCGCGUGCAGGCGGAUUGGAGAGUUGGAUGUGAAAGCUCCCGGCUUAACUGGGAGAGGUCGUUCAAUACUUCCAGUCUUGAGUGCAGUAGAGGGAAGUGGAAUUCCGGGUGUAGUGGUGAAAUGCGUAGAUAUCCGGAGGAACACCAGUGGCGAAAGCGGCUUCCUGGACUGUAACUGACGCUCAGACGCGAAAGCUAGGGUAGCAAACGGGAUUAGAAACCCUAGUAGUCC